rnacentral:rRNA from 1 species
GAUGAACGCUGGCGGCGUCCCUAAUACAUGCAAGUCGAGCGAAGCGGGGACGGGUGAGUAACACGUGGAUAACCUCCUAUAAGACUGGGAUAACUUCAGGAAACCGGAGCUAAACCGGAUACUUAAAGAUGGAUCCGCGCGUCAUUAGCUAGUUGGUAAGUUAACGUAUUACCAAGGCAACGAUGCAUAGCCGCCCUGAGAGGGGGAUGAUCCACACUGGAACUUAGACCGGGUUCAGACUCUGACCUCGAUCAUCAGUAUUCGAUCUUCCUCAAUGGGCGAAAGCCUGACUGAGCAACUCCGCGUGAGUGAUGAAGGUCUUCGGAUCGUAAAACUCUGUUAUUAUGUAAGCGGUAGCUAAUCAGAAAGCCACGGGUAAGUACGUGCCAGCAGCCGCGGUAAUUC